GAUGAACGCUGGCGGCGUGCCUAAUACAUGCAAGUCGAGCGCAGCGGGGACGGGUGCGUAACACGUGGCUAACCUCCUAUAAGACUGUGAUAACUUAGGGAAACCGGAGCUAAACCGGAUAUUUGUAGCUGGGUCCGGGCGGCAGUAGCUAGUGGGUAAGGGCACGGCUUACCAAGGCAACGAUGCCUAGCCGACCUGAGAGGGUGAGCGGCCAAAGUGGAACUGAGCCACGGUCCAGACCCCUACGGGAGGCAGCAGUAGGGAAUCUUCCGCAAUGGGCGAAAGCCUGACGGAGCAACGCCGCGUGGGUGAUGAAGGUCUUCGGAUCGUAAAACUCUGUUAUUAGGGAAGCGGUACCUAAUCAGAAAGCCCCGGCUAACUACGUGCCAGCAGCCGCGGUAAUAC
rnacentral:rRNA from 1 species